UGUUUAUGGAGGCAAUUACAACGAGUAGCUGCAGCUGGUGCACCGUUUUUAUAGCGGGAAUUUUGUUGUUGUUUACAGGAACUAAAAUCCUUCAUUGAGGAUGUGGGGAGUGAGAUGUCUAUACCGAUAUACUUGGCUGCCGUCGCAACCCUCCAAGAGUCAGAGGGCUACCGGGUGCUCUUCGUUUGUUGCAUGACCACCAAUAGCCACUACAGCUUCUACCAGGGAAUCAUCAAGGAAUUUGCAGGCAGCGGAAACCUUGUAACGGUGAUAACACCAUAUGCCAGCAAAGAUGAGAGGAGAAACGGAAAGAUCAGGGAAGCAUUAGUCCUGAAGGCGAUGUUAUGCACACCGGCCCCCCCAACAGGUUCAACAUGACCAUGAUGACGUUUCUCCAGCAGAUGCAGACGUUAAUGCCUAUUUGCGUUGAAAGUAUGGGAAGGAGGAGGUGCAGAAUCUACGACGAGAGAAGUUUGACGUUGUUCUGUUCAAGGCUCCUUUGGUGUACAAAUCGCCAUACGGUUUGACAUCCAAUACCGCCGAAGUGGUUGGCAACCCUAUCUUCCCUUCAUACGUCACAAUGGUCGCUCUGGAUUAUACUCACCCCUUGACUUUUGCUCAGAGAACCAAGAACAUUCUGGCAGACAUUGCUCUGAAUCUUCUCUUCAACUAUUACAUGAG